UUGUGUCUUGGGUUUGCAUAUGCUUGCGAUUACCUACUCUGUUUGAAUGCCAUAUGUAUAUGCAUUGGUAGAGGUAAAAGAUAAAUCCAGAGAAGAUAAAAAGGAAAGGACAGAGGAUGCCCAGGAAAAUGAUGCUUAGAUGUACAGUUGCAGGUUAGCUAUUGCGAAAAUUGCUUGUUCCUCUCCUAUUUAGUGAAAUAUGUAUGGGCUCAUUUAUGUACGGUGGUUAGGACCAGCAACUUGAUUAGUUGUAGUCUACUUUAACUGACACAUCUUUAAACUAAACUGAACAAAUCCAUUUUAGUUCUUCUAUUUCUGAACUUAUGUUUCUAUGGUUUCAUGGGUUCGGUUUGUGUUGCACAUUUAUGUGUCAACGACGACUAUCAAACAAGAAAAUUGAUCGCCAGCUAUAGCCUACGCCUGACCUCUGUCAUGGAAAAUCUUAGAGCAGAAAAUGAUAGGCUUAUUUUUCAGUUAGAAAGAUAUGUAUACUGUAGCAUCAUAUAUUCAGGUAAUCCCUUGUAUUUUUCUUGCCAGUUCAUGUUUUAUACAUCUUGUAUACACCCACAUAAACUAAAGUUUGUAGUGUCAGCAGUAAACAGGGGCACAACUAAGUAAUAUGGGUAGAAAAGCAAGAGCUUAUGAAAAGAAUAGUAUCUCUAUUGCAGAUGUGUGAGAGCACCCCCAUUAUCAUGCAAAUAGUACCAGGUUCAGAGCCUUGAUUAUGGCAGCUAUAAACACAAAAUAAUCCAUCUAAUUGGAUUUAGUAUAAAAACCACAUUCUGGCGGAAAUUACUCCAAUUAGAAUUCUAGCUGCAGCAUAUAUCUAAUUUGUCCCAGAUUGAAAAUCUCAAUUUUUAAUCUCUGAAAUACAGUACACACUUGUCCGUGUUGUUGCUCUGUACAUGACUUGCUUGUAUGGAUUCCUAAAUAGUGUACAGGUGGGAGCUAAACUGAAGCUUGCUGGUUGUGACGUGUCAGCCAUAAACUUGUAUUAUGACCAUUGUUUAUCCGGCUCAAAAACAGAGGCUGUUCCGUCUUCUCCUAAUCCAGACAAGCUGGCCCCUCUUCAUUGGUGCCCGUAGUAAAUUCAAAUUUGGUAGUGACACUGCAUGCCUAAAACUCUCCUGUAGGUUGAUUAUAUUACUGGAUGCAUAUGCAUAAAUCAGAGGAUAAGCAGCGGAAGGACAAGUUGUAUUUUUCGAGAUGUUCUCUUCUUCUUUAUUUUACAUGUUAAAGCAUGGACCUUCUUGCUCAGGAAUGAUACAAUCAAUCCAACUGUUACCUUUGGGGUGCUUUUUGGAUGGACUAAUCUGAAGAUGUUGGCUAGCUUGCACCGCCAUCAUAUAAUCUAGAAGCUAGGGCAAGGAUUAUAGGGAAAAUAAAGCUACUGUUUUUUUAUCCCAGGCAAUUAGCCAACCGGAGGAAAUGCCAACCAAUACAUUUUUGUACUUCCUCUGUUACAGAGUUCGUUCAGGCCUUAGGGACGCUUUCGAUCACUGUCCAUCAACAAGUUCAACUCCGACAACGGUUCACCGAUAAUGUGGGCCGGUGCACCACGUCAGCAACGUCGACGGCCUGACAGGCCAUUUUCCAACUGGGCCUAUUGUAAAUGACGGGACCAUGAGUUUCUCCUUUUGGAGUUUACUUCUACGAGUGCUCACUCCCUGCAUCUUGUUCUGUUUUUUGUUCUAUUUUUCAGAAAAUGAAGAUGUACUUUGCCGUUCCACUAAUCUCGGCAAAAGAGUAGAUUAUGGUGCCCCUCGUGCUAUAGUGGAAUUGAAUCGCAAAAAACUCUAUAGAUUCAUCAAACAAUGAAGGAGGUUAGUUUUUACCUGAGGGGCAACGGCGGCCACCGUGGUCUUGCUGGAGCCUCGCUUGCAGUCGAAAGUCAUCAGCUUCAGGGAGUGCCAGCACAGCCAAAAUAGGCGCCACCUUCGACGGGGAGCAACAGCAGCAACUGCGAGGAUUUGCCUAGCCCAUACGAGCAACGGCGGCGACAUACCCGCUUCCGCAGCUCCGAGCUGCUGGUCCGCCGGCGAGCCGUUGCGCCUCCAAGCUGCCGAGCCACCGAGAUGGAAAUGUAGCCGCAGCGCCUCCGAGCUGCAGCGAGAGCCGCUCCGCCGCCAAGCUGCAGAGUGAGCUGCCGUGAAGAUGGAGCCGUGCUUUCUCUCCAGUACGAGUACAGUGGGGAGAGGGGAACGAAUCCAAUGAACUGGUCGAUGGAACCAAGACCAACAGUCAACCACG